UGGCAUAUAUGAGUAUAUCAUGUGCGAUUGAGGCUAUCCUGCUGAAGGGAAGGAAGAUGGAGGAGCAGAUUCUAACAGCAAGCGUUAAUUUCUUUACUUUGCUGUUAAGUAACUGUUGUCUUACUUCCUCUUAUUUGUUUCAGGCGAAUGUAUACCCAUCCACCUGAUGGUUUUCUUAGUUUAUCAAGCAGUCCACGAACGCCAACAUUCCAGCCAAUGCACUAUCCAUCUCAUGUCCCCCUCCUAGACAACAGCAACAGGAGAAUCUCCAUUUUGUCGGUGUCCCCUCACAUGUUGCAUUCUCAACACCACCACCACCACCAGUUCAUACUAAAAGGAAAAAAACACCAUCCGAGUCUGGUUCUGGUAGAGGUUCUUUACAAAAAAAAAAGGCCCAUGUUGUAGAACAGGCCGGUGAUGUCUUUGGUUGUCAUGAGGCUGGCCGGUGAGAAUGCCACGUUGCCGGAGCCAAAUGAGCCCGGAAUAAACCUGCGGAGGAACAUGACAGAUACAGGAUUUUCUGAAAAUGAAAGCGAGUUCACCAUGACUACGACAGAUACUAGGUAGUUUAGCUUGGGAUAGAAUACAAUGCACGGGUUACAACAGAAGUUAUUUCUUGUCUCAGAAUUACUGAUUGCUCUUUGUUCUCAUUUUCCUUGUUAGCUGAAACUAUUCCUUGUCUACAGAUAAGCGGAAGUCGUGUUCGGAGCCACCAACAGUGUCUUCCUUGGAUUCGUUCGUGCAAUAAGGAGGGUACCCGGCCUUCUUCACGUGUCAAGCAACAAGGGUGAUCGAGGAGGAUUUUCGUGGCCCGGUGGGUGUCGUGCUCUUCAACCACUUGGAGGCGGACUUCACCAUGAAGCCCAGUGACUACUGCACACAGAUGAUCAUCCAGGUGAUCGCGAUGUCGGAGGUCGCCAAGGUGGAGGUCCUCGACGCCACCGUCCGGGGGGAGGUCCACCGGUGUCUGAACUCCAAGCCUUAGUAGAUACAUCUAGAGAAGUGGUAUGUUUAGGUUGGUGGUGGAAUGCUAGGGAAGGUACCCACCUUUAGAUGAUGGUUGUGUUCGUCUGAUGUUAAAUGGGAUGUCGUGAUUUCUUUCAGUUGAGAUGUUGUUCCUUGACACGAGUCUGAUGUUAAAUGGGAUGUUGUGAUUUCUUUCAGUUGA